CCUACGGGGGGCUGCAGUGGGGAAUAUUGGACAAUGGGCGAAAGCCUGAUCCAGCCAUGCCGCGUGUGUGAAGAAGGCCUUCGGGUUGUAAAGCACUUUCAGUGGGGAAGAAAGCCUUGGGGCUAAUACCCUCGAGGAAGGACAUCACCCACAGAAGAAGCACCGGCUAACUCCGUGCCAGCAGCCGCGGUAAUACGGAGGGUGCGAGCGUUAAUCGGAAUUACUGGGCGUAAAGCGCGCGUAGGCGGUCUGAUAAGCCGGUUGUGAAAGCCCCGGGCUCAACCUGGGAACGGCAUCCGGAACUGUCAGGCUAGAGUGCAGGAGAGGAAGGUAGAAUUCCCGGUGUAGCGGUGAAAUGCGUAGAGAUCGGGAGGAAUACCAGUGGCGACGGCGGCCUUCUGGACUGACACUGACGCUGAGGUGCGAAAGCGUGGGUAGCAAACAGGAUUAGAUACCCUGGUAGUC
rnacentral:rRNA from 1 species